AAAUAUUGUACUGAGUGGAUGAAAUGUGUCAUCUUAUUCACUGUUUUGUCACAUGACCAGGUCCCCAGUGUUGUCCCAUUCUGGAAACUCCAGUUCCGUUGAGUCGGUGAUGUUCCACAUUCCGAGUGGAACCAAAAGCACCGUGAGAGUGUGUGUGCUGACACCAGACGGCCAGUGUCAUGGCAACGCCAAACUCACCUACGCCUCCCAGCCGACCUGCAGAGGCCUUUCCCCAAAUACCACCUGGGCCAGUGGAGGCAGAGAGAUCUUGUUUGUGGGUUCUAAUCUGGAGUUUGUGGAGAAGGUGAAGCACAGUGGGUCAUCUGAAGAGAUCACCCCUGAACCUGGGAAACUCGGCUAUUCCACCCCCCCUGGUCUGUUGGACUCUCCUAUGCCCAUGCAGGAGUCUGUGAUGCUGAUAGUGGGGAACUACUCUGUGACCUGCAAAGGCAAGCUCACCUACCACCCAGACCCAGCACUUCACGAGCUUCACUACCACACGUACGGGCAAGGACAUGUCUGUCGUCAUACAGAAAACUGCAGACUCCCUGGUGUUGAAACAAGAAGAGAUCAGUGUACAGGCCAUGCAGGGGGAGAAGUCUUAUGGCUGUGUGAUUGAACGAAUCGAACCCAGUGCUGACACAACCUCUGUUGUGUGUGAGAUCAGUAAUCAGACAGGCCUCAGCAUAGACACACUGGAGAUCACUGUUGGAAGCUUUUCAGUAAGCCUUAAGAAAAGCCAGAACCUGUCGUACAUCAUCUCCAUCCCUAUCUUCAUCGCCGUCAUCAUCUGUGGUAAAGAACUUCCUAAGCGCAACACAUGACAGGACUAAAACUUCACAAAAAACUCUCCUUUAAACUCAACUGGGGAUUAUUGAGAAUAGAUAUCACAACAACUGUGUUUUUAUCACAGAACUAAACUGUUUUGAAAGUUUUGGAAAAACAGACGAAAGCGUCUGCCAAAUUCCAUAACCAUAACAACUAUGUAAAUCAUUUAAUUUAAAAAAUGAAGACAAGAGAGGUUUCCUGAUGUGAACAUGCCAGUUGUGUUUGUGAGAGACUUUAGUCAGUGUACUAGCUGCAAUUCUGGUUGACAUGACCGCUCAGCUGAGCUGUCACAUGAUGUCUGAUUUUUUUAAAUGGAGCACAGUCUCGUGCCCUGCACGGUGUGUGUGUUUGUGUGUGUGCGCUAGGCAUUAGCAGUAAGUGUGUGGCUUCACCAGUGUUCAUUUUGUUGGCUUUUUUUCAUCUGUAGUCAACCGGUUUUUUUUUUUGUCUUUAGUUGACUAAAAGUCUGGGUAUUUUAGACUUAUAUAACCAUUAGUAUUUUAAUCUAGUAUUAGUCAAUGAAAACUGUUUACAUUUGAGUGUUUUCCUAGCUGCUCUAAGAAAACUAAUCUAGCUAAACCACAUACCUGCCUUGCUAACACCUGACACACUGUUAGCACUGAUAAUAUUCAGCUAGCCUGUUAAUAGAUGUAUUUUCGUAGUGUAUUUGCAGACUACAAAUAGACUUUGGAGGGCAAUGUGCGUCUACAUUUAUAUGUGUGUGGCGUGUCCUGAUAUGACGAAACUGUUGCAUAUGCCAUCCAAUGAACAGGAUAUUUGGAUUGUAAUUUAGAAGCGAAAACAUCUGCUCUAUCUCCUCUUCUUUGUCAAUGAAAAGAAAAAGAGAUUUUGGUGAGGUUUUUAUUUCUAAAA
rnacentral:lncRNA from 1 species